ACCACCACCACCUCCGCCAUAGCACCACCACCAUCAUCUCACCACCGCCAUCAUCACACCACCGCCAUCAUCACACCACCUCCAUCUCACCGCCGCCAUCAUCUCACCGCCGCCAUCAUCUCACCGCUGCCAUCAGAAAGAAAGAGAGGGAACCAGAGAGAGGAGAGAACUGGCGGAGCCGCCGCCGUCUCCGACCUUCCGUCUCCGACCUUCAUCUCCGCCAUCACACCACCGCCUUCAUCUCACCACCGCCAUCACACCGAUGAAGAUGAUGGUUGGUUGGUGGGUUUCGGAGGAGAUGGAGAAGAGGAGUAUUGGUGAAGAGGUGAGAAGAGGUUAGAAGACAUGGGCUAAUGUCUGUGUGGGGAAGAGGUCUCGCAGACCUUUUUUAAUGAAAGGUCUGCGAGAAAACAAACAAGCUGCAGGACCCAAAGGUCUGCGCGCGUCUGCGCGACGCAGACAAAAGUGGCCAGAAGUGUUUCUGGCAGGAAAACAAACAGAACCUAAAAGUCUAAAACACAUAGUUAAAAGUAUAUAAAAUCUAAGAUAAAGAUUGAAAAAAAUAAAAUGUCUUAGCCACCAGGCACUUAUUAAAUACUCUUAAGCAUAACUUUUUAGUUAUAUAUUGUUUUUAGCCCAGUUGGGUAUCCCCACUUGGGUUAAGUUGGGCCGGCUUCCUCCUUGGAGGUCGCCGGUUUGACUUCUGGCUGCGGCAUACGGGGGUGGGAGUCCCAAUGAUGGAUCGUUCCUACCGAGGCAUGGUGCGGUCCUGAGGGUAACCCGGUUUUACCCAGCUGUUACCCCAGCGAGUCUCUCGUGUGGGGGCAGUAUGGUUUCCGGGCGGAAGUCAGCUUGCGCAACGGCCGGGGCCCGAUCGAACAUCGCGUCCGGAAGAACGGGGCUGACGGGGGAAUGUCUUUGACAUGACCCCGGAGACCAAUUCGGUCUUGUACAGAGAAAGUCUCCUUCCAAAAAAAA